GAUGAACGCUGGCGGCGUGCUUAACACAUGCAAGUCGAACGGGAUCCCAGGAGCUUGCUCCUGGGUGAGAGUGGCGAACGGGUGAGUAAUGCGUGACCGACCUGCCCCAUACACCGGAAUAGCUCCUGGAAACGGGUGGUAAUGCCGGAUGCUCCAACAUGACGCAUGUCGUGUUGGGAAAGAUUCAUCGGUAUGGGAUGGGGUCGCGUCCUAUCAGCUUGAUGGCGGGGUAACGGCCCACCAUGGCUUCGACGGGUAGCCGGCCUGAGAGGGCGACCGGCCACAUUGGGACUGAGAUACGGCCCAGACUCCUACGGGAGGCAGCAGUGGGGAAUAUUGCACAAUGGGCGCAAGCCUGAUGCAGCGACGCCGCGUGCGGGAUGACGGCCUUCGGGUUGUAAACCGCUUUUGACUGGGAGCAAGCCCUUCG
rnacentral:rRNA from 1 species